rnacentral:rRNA from 1 species
AUUGAACGCUGGCGGCAUGCCUUACACAUGCAAGUCGAACGUGAAAGGGGGCUUCGGUCCCUGAGUAAAGUGGCGCACGGGUGAGUAACACGUGGAUAAUCUACCCGGUGAUCGGGGAUAACCUUCCGAAAGGGGGGCUAAUACCGGAUAAGCCCACGGGCUCUUUGGAGCUUGCGGGAAAAGGUGGGGACCUUCGGGCCUACCGUCAUCGGAUGAGUCCGCGGCCCAUUAGCUAGUUGGUAGGGUAACGGCCUACCAAGGCAACGAUGGGUAGCUGGUCUGAGAGGAUGAUCAGCCACACUGGAACUGAGACACGGUCCAGACUCCUACGGGAGGCUG